GUUGAACGCUGGCGGCAGGCCUAACACAUGCAAGUCGAGCGAAGCGGCGGAGGGGAGAGGAAUGGCUAGGACUCGGCCUGGUACUGGUGGAUAACGUCCGGAAACGGGCGCUGAUACCGAAUACUCUCCGAUGAGCCUGGGUCGGAUUAGCUAGUUGGUGGGGUAAAGGCCUACCAAGGCUACGAUCCGUACCUGGCCUGAGAGGAUGAGCAGUCACACUGGAACUGAGACACGGUCCAGACUCUUACGGGAGGCAGCAGUGGGGAAUAUUGGACAAUGGGCGAAAGCCUGCUCCAGCCAUGCCGCGUGUGUGAAGAAGGUCUUCGGAUUGUAAAGCACUUUAAGUUGGGAGGCGUUACCAACAGAAUAAGCACCGGCUAACUUCGUGCCAGCAGCCGCGGUAAUAC
rnacentral:rRNA from 1 species